UUCACUCAGUGUAGCUCUGCUUUGCUCAGCAGCACUCACUUCGCCUUGUGCUUCUUAAUCAAAACUGGCACCAUGGCAAUUACCUAAUUAGACAUCAAUUAAUCCACACCCUUCAGGUCUGCAGCCAAGUUUGACCUGAGGAGUAAUGACAAAAAUGCCUUCGAAGAACGGAGAAAUCAGAUUAAUGGACGCUCAACGGCAGAGUUGCGCUGCAUUUGAGAAAUCUGGAGAAAUAUACUGCACUUCAUUUCAUAAUUAACAGUAACACCCCGGUGACUAUUCCUGUUACAGAAGAAACCAACACUGAAGUUCAUAUGGAGCACAGACGAUGACCCCCGGCAGCUUAACGGAAACUUUACCAAAGCACACAAAGCUCCACAACGCAGAAAACCUAUUCAGGUUGCCAGUUUGCCACGCUCCCCAGCCGCGGUCCGCCAAAGUCUGGUCGGCUUCCACUAGGAGGCAACUGGUGCCACCAGCUCCGCUUUGAAGUUCAAAUUACUGGCCUCAGGGAUCCAGUUUAUGAGAAAACACCUGAAUACUCAAAUCCACCAAAUCACACGGACAUCAUCACAGCAUCACUCUGAAACACUGUCCAUUGUUCGGCCUGCUACUUGCAGCGGGAAUGGCAACUGAAAAAGCAGCAAUGGUCAGUUCAGCCAAAGAAAGGAGGGAAAAAGGAAAAGAAGUCCGUGUUUGAAAAGCCUGGCAUCCUUAUCUAAACGGGUGCCUCUACCUGCCAAAGAUGCUUUCAUACUCGAGCAGUAUGAGCUCCACUAUCUGGUUCUGGUAGACCAUGUGGACCGCAAUGUUGCCUGUCUCUGUCUCGGGCCGGAGCAGCGUGGGUCCAAACACGAUGGCCACGCUCUGUGUGGUCAUGCGGUUGGCCUCCCCAUGGUCAAUCACUCUGGGGAGAGGGAAGUAAAACAUGAGGACAUUUAAAGAUGCAAUGUGUCAUGAACAGCUUUAGGUGAGCCUGUGUUUGUUUGACAGUCCAGUGAUUUCAGUACAGCUUCAGGGUUUCAGCUAGUAAAACAACAUUCAAGUCUUUACACACAUCUUUAGGGCUUGAGAUCGAGGGCUGAGGCAAGCCUCACGACACACACUCUGUAACACUACUGAACGCUCCAGGCUAGAGCAUAAUAGCCUUUUUAAAUAGAAUCUACAUCCUUGCAUGCAGAUGCACAAAACAAUAACAUAUUCAUGGAAGGGAGAAAAAAAAGGAGAUUAAAUCCGCCCGCUGAUAUACGUAGACCUCCAUAUACUGAAUGUCACGCUAUAAAUUUCCUCAAGAAACACCACUUCGUAGGUACUGAAUUAUAGCAAACACAGAGCCAUAUAAAUGCAAAUUGGAAACCUAGGCAAAUGUCAUUGUGAACAUAUGAUAUUGCCACUGGCUCCAGUGGGCUAAGAAUACACGUUAAAGCUGGCUGUAGUUUGUGUUUGCCUACAGGCUGAUCAGUCUGAGGAAAGGUAAACACUGAGAGUCAAACAGGAGCUGGUAUAAAUAAGACAUCCUCAGUGCCAUUUCUGAUAUAAGUGCAUGAAACUUACUGAAGUCACUGAAUGGUUCAACAGUUAAUCUGAACAGUUAGACAUAUUUCCAUAUCAGAAGACUAGUCACAUCGUCCAAUUAAGGUCAAUAGAGCAAUCCAAGCAAGUAUAUAUUUGGUGGUGUGUGUGUGUGUGUGUGUGUGUGUGUGUGCGUGUGUGUGUGUGUGUGUGUGUGUGUGUGUUAGUUACUCUUGAUGUUUUUCACACCAUAUUUUCUCUGGUAUUAACUCACUUGGACGGUAGUAUUACCCAUUCUUAUUUAGAGAUUAAAUGGAUGUUUUGACUGAUCGAUAUAAUAUUUUAUGAUGAUGUGAUGGCAUUUUGCACGUUUGUGGACUAUAUCUAUAUAUGUACAGUAUAAUCUUAAAGGUUUUCUGGCAACUCUUGCUUGUUUGGGAUAUUUUAAAAUGUUCCACAUUACUGCCAACAGUAGUUUGGGAAGCAAACGUACUGGAACCCUUUUAUGCAUGUAAACAAAAUAAUGCUUGAUAAUAAAA